ACUAGAGUAGCACUCGCAUAUCAAUAAGCGGAGGAAAAGAAACUAACAAGGAUUCCCCUAGUAACGGCGAGUGAAGCGGGAAGAGCUCAAAUUUGAAAUCUUAAAGGGUUUCCCUUUACGAAUUGUAGUUUAAAGAAGUGUUUUCUGUUGAGGUUUUGGUAAAAGUUCUUUGGAAUAGGACAUCAUAGAGGGUGAGAAUCCCGUAUUUGACCUUUACUUUCAACUUUGUGAUACACUUUCAAAGAGUCGGAUUGUUUGGGAAUGCAGUCCAAAAUGGGUGGUAAAUUUCAUCUAAAGCUAAAUAUUGGCGAGAGACCGAUAGCGAACAAGUACCGUGAGGGAAAGAUGAAAAGAACUUUGAAAAGAGAGUUAAACAGUACGUGAAAUUGUCAAAAGGGAAGCGUUUGACACCAGUGUUGUUUUUCUGAAAAUCAAUUAAAGAACUGUUUAUGCUAAGCUGUUUAGACUUUAUCAGCUAAUCUGUUUAGUUUUGAGCUUUUCUUUAAUGCACUUUUCAGUUAACAAGUCAACAUCAAUUUCUUUUGCUGUAAAAAAGCUUGAGGGAAGGUGGCUUGAGAUUCGUCUUAAGUGUUUAUAGCCUCUUGCCUAUGCAGUCGGAGAGAUUGAGGUCUGCAGCGUAGAUCCUUCGGGGCUAAAUGCAUUUGUGCUAAGUUAUAGCAUUUUAUAGACAACUUGUUGACUAUGAUUUGUCUUGUAGCUUACUCGCUUAUGUUAUUUUACCUACGCUUAGGAUGUUGAUCUACAGAGCGAGAGU
rnacentral:rRNA from 1 species